GAUGAACGCUAGCUACAGGCUUAACACAUGCAAGUCGAGGGGAAACGACAUCGAAAGCUUGCUUUUGAUGGGCGUCGACCGGCGCACGGGUGAGUAACGCGUAUCCAACCUGCCCACCACUUGGGGAUAACCUUGCGAAAGUAAGACUAAUACCCAAUGAUAUCUCUAGAAGACAUCUGAAAGGGAUUAAAGAUUUAUCGGUGAUGGAUGGGGAUGCGUCUGAUUAGCUUGUUGGCGGGGUAACGGCCCACCAAGGCUACGAUCAGUAGGGGUUCUGAGAGGAAGGUCCCCCACAUUGGAACUGAGACACGGUCCAAACUCCUACGGGAGGCAGCAGUGAGGAAUAUUGGUCAAUGGACGGGAGUCUGAACCAGCCAAGUAGCGUGCAGGAUGACGGCCCUAUGGGUUGUAAACUGCUUUUGUAAGGGAAUAAAGUGAGUCUCGUGAGACUUUUUGCAUGUACCUUAUGAAUAAGGACCGGCUAAUUCCGUGCCAGCAGCCGCGGUAA
rnacentral:rRNA from 1 species